rnacentral:rRNA from 1 species
UACGAAGGGUGCAAGCGUUACUCGGAAUUACUGGGCGUAAAGCGUGCGUAGGUGGUUUGUUAAGUCUGAUGUGAAAGCCCUGGGCUCAACCUGGGAAUUGCAUUGGAUACUGGCAGGCUAGAGUGCGGUAGAGGAUGGCGGAAUUCCCGGUGUAGCAGUGAAAUGCGUAGAGAUCGGGAGGAACAUCUGUGGCGAAGGCGGCCAUCUGGACCAGCACUGACACUGAGGCACGAAGGCCAGGGGAGCAAACGGG